rnacentral:rRNA from 1 species
GGGUCAGUAGGUCGGUCGUGCCACCGGUACGUACUGGUCUCACUGAUUCCUCCUUCCUGAAGAACCGUAAUGCCAUUAAUUUGGUUUUGCGGGGAAACAGGACUGUUACUUUGAAAAAAUUAGAGUGUUUAAAGCAAGCUAACGCUUGAAUACAUUAGCAUGGAAUAAUGAAAUAGGACGAUCGAUCCUAUUUUGUUGGUUUCUAGGAUUGACGUA